CACGUAGGGGCCAGGCGUUGUCCGGAUUUAUUGGGCGUAAAGAGCUCGUAGGCGGUUCGACAAGUCGGGUGUGAAAACUCCGGGCUCAACCUGGAGACGCCACCCGGGACUGCUAUGGCUAGAGUCCGGUAGGGGAUCACGGAAUUCCUGGUGUAGCGGUGAAAUGCGCAGAUAUCAGGAGGAACACCGGUGGCGAAGGCGGUGAUCUGGGCCGGCACUGACGCUGAGGAGCGAAAGCGUGGGUAGCAAACAGG
rnacentral:rRNA from 1 species